rnacentral:misc_RNA from 1 species
UACUUCUAUAAUAUUAUAGCAUUUACUGACUAUGUCGUAUUUAAUAUUUUAUGUUAUACGUUAUGUCCAUGCGUUUAUGACAAAGUGUAAGAAAAAUUAUGUAAUUUUAAUACAAUAAGGGAAAUUGUUUCUAUUAGGUAAUUUGGUCUAUUAGGUAAUAUAGGUAAUUUAUCUUAUGCUAAAAGAAAAAUAUUCUAAAAUAUCCGAGUAUACUUCAGAAUGUGAACCUCGAUCGACAUAUUCUCAAAUGUAGUUGUAUGCUCGACGAAGAAUGAUCUGUAUAGUUGAACAUUUUAGAAUACAACGAAUUUUACUAUUAACUAUUGGCAUAUGGCCUUACAACCAAUCAAAAUUUGUCCGAUUUCAGUUUUCAUUGCUUUCGGUUGUUACAAACAGCUAUAUUAUAUUUCAGCUAACACAGUUUAUAACUUCCGAAUUAACUGUUGAGCGUAUUAUAAAAAUUUUAUCUUCAACUUUGUUUUGUCUUGUGUGCGCAAUUCAUCAACUUUCUUAUUGGAUUAACGCAGAUAUUGUGAAAUGUUUUCUGGAGCGUCUCCAGCAUGCCUGCAAUGAAUUAAAAGAUGAAAACGAAAUGGCUAUAAUAAAGAAAUAUGCAACUAGUGCAGAAUAUAUCUCAAUUCUAGUUUUACUGUUCGCGGUGUGCUGGGCAUUUAUUGUUAUUCUUAUGCCGCGAAUUCUUAGCACCUUUUUACUCGUAAACAUAUCUCGACCAUUUUACAAUUUCCAAUUCAUAACUGAAUAUUUUAUUGAUAAAGAAAAGAAUUUCUAUUUAAUUUUGCUUCACGCAUACGCGUCCGCUUACAUAUCAUUAACUGCGUUGAUUGGGGGAGGUUUGAUAGGAUGUGCAUACCUUAAACACGUUUGCGGACUAUUUAACAUUGCUAGUUAUAACUUUAUUUAUAGUUACCGUAUAGGACAAUCAAUGAUAGUAAAUAUUCACGAAAAAACUAAUCAGUGGAAUAAGAUGGAAAAGAAGAUACGCCUUGCAGUGGAUGUCCAUCGCACAGCCAUUGAGUUGGCUGAAUUUUUUAUCUCUAGUUUUAAUGGAACAUACUUUUGUCUAACAGUGUUAUCCAUACUUAGUCUAUGCCUCAAUCUAUGCGAAAUGCAGAAAUAUAAUGGAGUGAAAGAACAAGAAUUAUUACAUACAUGUAUACAAAAUUUAUUCAUAAUUAUAUACAUAAUUCAUAUUUUUACCAAUGGUCUAAGCCUUAGACACUAUAAGGUUUAAUAAAGACCCAAACUUAAUAUGAAAAACAGAUUACGUAUUUGCUAUUUUAUGUAUAUUUAUUAUGGUAUUCCAAACUGCACUGCUUCGAGAUAAAGUGGAGGAAUUUCUGGUACACCUUAUAUUUGCAACUGCUGUGCUUCUAUAUUGGUUCCUGG